rnacentral:rRNA from 1 species
CCUACGGGAGGCUGCAGUGGGGAAUAUUGGACAAUGGGGGAAACCCUGAUCCAGCGACGCCGCGUGAGUGAAGAAGUAUUUCGGUACGUAAAGCUCUAUCAGCAGGAAAGAAAAUGACGGUACCUGUCUAAGAAGCCCCGGCUAACUACGUGCCAGCAGCCGCGGUAAUACGUAGGGGGCAAGCGUUAUCCGGAUUUACUGGGUGGAAAGGGAGCGUAGACGGCAGCGCAAGUCUGGAGUGAAAUGCCGGGGCCCAACCCCGGAACUGCUCUGGAAACUGUGAAGCUGGAGUGCAGGAGAGGUAAGCGGAAUUCCUGGUGUAGCGGUGAAAUGCGUAGAUAUCAGGAGGAACACCGGCGGCGAAGGCGGCUUACUGGACUGUAACUGACGUUGAGGCUCGAAAGCGUGGGUAUCGAACAGGAUUAGAUACCCGAGUAGUC